rnacentral:lncRNA from 1 species
AUUGUCUAGUACAUUAUUUCUCACUCUCACCGAUGGCUAUGUACCUGUCAACACCACUACAUAUUGACAAACUAUUGGUUUCUUAAAAUAUAUUUCUUUUACUCCCAAACCUGCCCUUCACGGUGAAUACGUUUUCUCAAUUUAUGAACAUAACAUUUGAUUUGUAUUAUUCAAUAUAUAGGAUUCACUAUAGCAUAUUUCAAAUAUAUAUUGUAGGGUUCAUGUUUCUGCCGUCUCUGAUGCUGAUUGUUAUGACUGCAAAUCAACCUCAGCUUACAUUAUUUGUCGUGCUAAUUGUUAUGCCUCACCAUCGAGGCUCAAGAAGAGG